AUUGAACGCUGGCGGCAUGCCUUACACAUGCAAGUCGAACGGUAACAGGUCUUCGGACGCUGACGAGUGGCGAACGGGUGAGUAAUGCAUCGGAACGUGCCCAGUCGUGGGGGAUAACUGCUCGAAAGAGCAGCUAAUACCGCAUACGACCUGAGGGUGAAAGCGGGGGACCGUAAGGCCUCGCGCGAUUGGAGCGGCCGAUGUCAGAUUAGCUAGUUGGUGGGGUAAAGGCCUACCAAGGCAACGAUCUGUAGUUGGUCUGAGAGGACGACCAGCCACACUGGGACUGAGACACGGCCCAGACUCCUACGGGAGGCAGCAGUGGGGAAUUUUGGACAAUGGGCGCAAGCCUGAUCCAGCAAUGCCGCGUGCAGGAAGAAGGCCUUCGGGUUGUAAACUGCUUUUGUCAGGGAAAGAAAUCUUUCUGGGGCUAAUACCCCC
rnacentral:rRNA from 1 species